GACGAACGCUGGCGGCGCGCUUAACACAUGCAAGUCGAGCGAGAACCAGGCCUUCGGGCCUGGGGACAGCGGCGAACGGGUGAGUAACACGUGGGUAAUCAACCCUCGGUACUGGGAUAGCCCGGGGAAACCCGGAUUAAUACCGGAUGGCCCUUCGGAUCUUCGGUUCUGAAGGAAAAGGUAGCUUCGGCCUCCGACCGAGGACGAGCCCGCGGCGGAUUAGCUUGUUGGUGGGGUAACGGCCUACCAAGGCGGCGAUCCGUAGCUGGUCUGGGCGGACGAUCAGCCACACUGGGACUGAGACACGGCCCAGACUCCUACGGGAGGCAGCAGUGGGGAAUCUGGCGCUAAUGCGGGAAACCGUGACGCAGCGACGCCGCGUGAGGGAAGAAGGCCUUCGGGUUGUAAACCUCUUUCAGGAGGGACGAAGCUACUCGGGUUAAUAGCCUAGAGGGUGACGGUACCUCCAGAAGAAGCCCCGGCUAACUACGUGCCAGCCGCCGCAGUAAAAC
rnacentral:rRNA from 1 species